GAGUUUGAUCAUGGCUCAGGAUGAACGCUGGCGGCGUGCCUAACACAUGCAAGUCGAACGAAGCAUAUAGAAGGAAGUUUUCGGAUGGAAUUUUAUAUGACUUAGUGGCGGACGGGUGAGUAACGCGUGGAUAAUCUGCCUUACACAGCGGGAUAACAAAUGGAAACAGUUGCUAAUACCGCAUAAGCACACAGUAUCGCAUGAUACAGGGUGAAAAGAUUUAUCGGUGUAAGAUGAGUCCGCGUCCCAUUAGCUGGUUGGUGAGGUAAAAGCUUACCAAGGCGACGAUGGGUAGCCGGCCUGAGAGGGUGAACGGCCACAUUGGGACUGAGACACGGCCCAGACUCCUACGGGAGGCAGCAGUGGGGGAUAUUGCACAAUGGGCGAAAGCCUGAUGCAGCGACGCCGCGUGAAGGAAGAAGUAUUUCGGUAUGUAAACUUCUAUCAGCAGGGAAGAAAAUGACGUACCUGACUAAGAGCCCG
rnacentral:rRNA from 1 species